GGAAAAGAAAACAAGCCAAAUCGACAUUUACGUCGCCUGAAUCCAUGUGAUAGACAGCAUGGUGAAGAACAUACCCAAAUGGGCCGGAAUCGGACAAGACCCAGGUGGGCUGUGGACCACUGCCAGUCUUCGUCGUCGCCGCAAUGUUCAGGUCUGCUCCGAGGUUGUCCACCCCCCUUCAUCAGCCCACUGCGGCCGAGAUGGCGCCGAACCCCUCGGGCGAUGUGUCUGGGACUUCCCCAGCUGGUCUCCGCUGGUGGGCGGCGGUCGUUGGUCUUUUUGGUGCUUCCGCCUUCACGACCGCCUGGCUGCCCCCCACUGCAGGCCAGCUCGUACCGCGACACCUGUGUCCAGUUGUAUCAGCACGCGCCUGUGAUGCUGUGGAAGGUUGUGAUGGCCGCGUUCGUGCACCUGGACGAACUUUCGGGUUUUCGGUCCUGCGCGCCAGCUGUUGACGGCAGAGACUGUGAAGACGCGCGCUGGGUGUCGCGUGUAUUUGUUGGGGGUGCGCAGAGAGAUAUUAUUUUAUGAGAGCAGGUGGGCC
rnacentral:misc_RNA from 1 species